rnacentral:rRNA from 1 species
GAUGAACGCUGGCGGCGUGCCUAAUACAUGCAAGUCGAGCGAACGGACGAGAAGCUUGCUUCUCUGAUGUUAGCGGCGGACGGGUGAGUAACACGUGGAUAACCUACCUAUAAGACUGGGAUAACUUCGGGAAACCGUAGCUAAUACCGGAUAAUAUUUUGAACCGCAUGGUUCAAAAGUGAAAGACGGUCUUGCUGUCACUUAUAGAUGGAUCCGCGCUGCAUUAGCUAGUUGGUAAGGUAACGGCUUACCAAGGCAACGAUGCAUAGCCGACCUGAGAGGGGGAUCGCCAACCCGGAACUUAGGCCACGUCCCAGACCCCAACGGGAGGCAGAGGUAGGGAUCCUUCCGCAAGGGGCGAAGGCCUGACGGAGAAACGCCGCGGGGGUGAUGAAGGUCUCCGGUUCGUAAAACCCUUUUAUAGGGAAGAACAUAUGUGUAAGUAACUGUGCACAUCUUGACGGUACCUAAUCAGAAAGCCACGGCUAACUACGUG